GCCAGCUUUUCCUUUUUCUUCUUUCAUUAGUAGAAAUUCACAGGAUUGAAUGAAAAUGCAAGAUGCAAGAUGUUUGUUAUACAGAUAGUAACUUUAAAAAGUGCAUUUAAAUAGACCAUGAUAAGAUAGACCAUGAUAAGAUAUUUUAAACAGAUCUACUGUGGUUUCUUCAAAGGGGUCCUUUUCUGAAAUUUUUACUUUGAGGCCCAGAGGUGAAGGUUAUGACCCUGUUUAUAACAAUAACUUCUUAAUCAAGUGUAAUGUACCUAAGCAUAGUAAUCUCUUCUCCACACUGUAGCCAGAAGCUAGAGUAAUUUUUUCUAACCUGCAGGUCUGAUGGGGCCCGUCCCUCUACUCCUCCCACGGGCUCUUUAAACUGAUUUACCAGGCCCUUUGGACGUGAGCUCUUCUUCCCUUUCAAGGAUAUCUCUCCUACCCUCCCCUCCCCAAGUGCCUGACAGUGCUCUGCACAAGGUGGUUACACAAGGACAGCGUGUUGACUGAAUAAGUAAACGAAUGAAUCAACAAAAAACAAGGUGACUCCACUGUCAAGGCUUCUGCAAAUGCUUACGUGAGGUUGCAUGCAUACUGCCUAUUUUUGUGAGAAGGUCCUGCCCCGUCAUCCUGGCCACAACUGCCUGAGACCCCUAUCACGCUGAGUGAGCUUCAGUCUCAGGAGCUGAGCUAAGAGAUACCAAGAGGUAAGUGGGUCAGUGGAGUUGUGAGGUUCUACAGAGCUGAGUUUGCACCAUGGCAACUCAAAGGCAUGAAUGCCAAGGCUAUGGAGAUAAGGCUAGCAUGUUGCCCUGUGUGGAGAAGCAAUGAUGUAGAGGCCUUCAGAGGAAUGAGUCCACAUAGAAUAAACCAGAUGCAUAGAUGCUUGGGUGUAAGAGAAAAAGAACAAAGGAGAGAGAGAGGGGGAAAGAGACACAGGAAGAGGGCGAGCAGAAAAGAAGGAAGGUAGGAGACAGAGACAGAACUAGACAUAGAAACAGCCAGAGGCCACUGCAGACACAGAGAAAGAGAUGAACUAUUGAUGACCUCCUAGACACCACAAUGUCCGGCUAUACUUCUUGCAGUUAAAUUCUGGAUUUCUGAUUCUUUUUAACAACUUCCUAUUUACAGGCUAUUUUAGGUAGAUUUCUGAUCUCUUGCAGCCAAACAAUUCUUGAUCUAAAUAUCUGCUCCUUGACUGUAGCUGUAUCUUAUUAAAUGUUUAAUUUGCAACUAUGGAAAUACAUACACUGACAUAACUAAAAACACUAAAAAAAGUAAGGCUCUUGAGAGAGGGACGUUUAUGACAGCUAAAGACUUUCCAAGACAGACUUGGUUUUAUACAGUAGUAACAGCUAACAUUUACUGAGCACUUCCCAUGGGCCAGUUUCAAAAGCUGUGCAUGCAUGAUCUCACCUGUUCAUGACAACUCUUGGUUUUAUUAUUACUCCUGUUUUGUAGAUAUGGAAAUUAAGGCAGAAAGAGAUUAACUUGCUCAAGGACACACAGGAAGGAAAUAAAGGUGGGAUCUACUGUUUAUUUACAUUAAAACUGACAUUUAAAAAAAGUGUAUGCAUUCAUUUAAUAUUCAGUUGAUAAAUUUUUGUGAAUGCCUCUUAUGUACAAAAUUGGAUUUAAACUAAUUAACUGGUUAAUGCUGAUGUUACAAAUAUAAAGUCCUUUUAAAUAUUAUUAUUCAAAAUAAAUCUUGCUUUCUGUGGUACACACACACACACACACACACACACACAGAUGUGCUUUCACUUUAAGUUUCUCAAUUUCCAGAAUACCUCCUUUAAAACAGAAGGGAACACAUACUGACAAUGCUGUUUUUAAUGCCUAACCAUUUCAAAAUCCACUGGAAUAUCUGAAGAUAACGUGCUGCACGCUGGACUCACAUGAAAAGAAACACUGCCUCCCGAGGGAAGCUACACUAAUGACCACAUAGCCAUUGAAUUAACUGCAGGGUAAGUUACACGUAUAUAAAAAGUCAAGUGACAAGAAUGAGAAGAGUUUUUCAGGGAAGGUGGUGAGUAGCCAGGGAUUCUG